rnacentral:lncRNA from 1 species
GGAGGAUCUGCCAGGCUGCCUCCGAACAAGGAAGAAAAUCAACAGGACAGAACAGGGAGCCUCUUUUCUAGGAGUGGAGUGAGGGUAGAGUUGAGUGAGGCAGCGCUGAGAGAUUGGAGGAGCCUGUGACACCACUAGGAGGGGUUUGUGGCAUCACUAGUUGCUAGGAGGUGGCAAGUAUCAGGUGACUCUUUUGGCGGGAGAGAGGCAUGAUGGGAAGAAGCCUGUCCUUUGUGGGGAGAAGCCAUAUUUUAACAUGGAGGUUGCUAUUCCCUGUGGCAGCCAUCUUAAGCCUCCUUUAG